rnacentral:rRNA from 1 species
CAGUCGCCACGGUAACACGUAGGGUGCAAGCGUUAAUCGGAAUUACUGGGCGUAAAGCGUGCGCAGGCGGUUAUAUAAGACAGAUGUGAAAUCCCCGGGCUCAACCUGGGAACUGCAUUUGUGACUGUAUAGCUAGAGUACGGCAGAGGGGGAUGGAAUUCCGCGUGUAGCAGUGAAAUGCGUAGAUAUGCGGAGGAACACCGAUGGCGAAGGCAAUCCCCUGGGCCUGUACUGACGCUCAUGCACGAAAGCGUGGGGAGCAAACAGGAUUAGAUACCCGAGUAGUCCCUGUCUCUUAUAC